rnacentral:rRNA from 1 species
CCUGGAAAUAGCCCCCACGUAGACCGUACCCGAAACCGACACAGGUGGACUGGUAGAGAAUACCAAGGAGCUUGAGCGAAGUGUGCUGAAGGAACUCGGCAAAUUACCUGCGUAACUUCGGGAGAAGCAGGCUAUCUCUUCGGGCAACCGGAGGGGUAGGGCACAAACUAGGGGGUGGCGACUGUUUACCUAAAACACAGGGCUAUGCUAAGUCCAACGACGACGUAUAUGGCCUGACGCCUGCCCGGUGCUGGAAGGUUAAGAGGAGAGGUUCACGCCUUGAAUCGAAGCCCCAGUAAACGGCGGCCGUAACAAUAACGGUCCUAAGGUAGCGAAAUUCCUUGUCGGGUAAGUUCCGACCUGCACGAAUGGCGUAACGACUUCCCCACUGUCUCCAGGACAUGCUCAGCGAAAUUGAAUUCUCCGUGAAGAUGCGGAGUACCCGCGGUUAGACGGAAAGACCCCGUGCACCUUUACUGUAGCUUUGCGCUGGUAUUCGUGACUGUUUGUGUAGAAUAGGUGGUAGGCUUUGAAGCCGUGGCGCCAGCCAUGGUGGAGCCGAAAUGUGAAAUACCACCCUAAUGGUUAUGGAUAUCUAACCGCGUUCCCUCAGCGGGAACCGGGACAGCGCAUGGUGGGCAGUUUGACUGGGGCGGUCGCCUCCCAAAGAGUAACGGAGGCGUGCGAAGGUAGGCUCAGAACGGUCGGAAAUCGUUCGUCGAGUAUAAUGGCAUAAGCCUGCCUGACUGCGAGACUGACAAGUCGAGCAGAGUCGAAAGACGGCCAUAGUGAUCCGGUGGUUCUUUGUGAGAGGGCCAUCGCUCAACGGAUAAAAGGUACGCCGGGGAUAACAGGCUGAUGACGCCCAAGAGUCCAUAUCGACGGCGUCGUUUGGCACCUCGAUGUCGGCUCAUCGCAUCCUGGGGCUGAAGCAGGUCCCAAGGGUAUGGCUGUUCGCCAUUUAAAGCGGUACGUGAGUUGGGUUCAGAACGUCGUGAGACAGUUCGGUCCCUAUCUGCCGUGGGUGUAGGAAUAUUGAAAGGAUCUGUCCCUAGUACGAGAGGACCGGGAUGGACGGAUCUCUGGUGGACCUGUUGUGGCGCCAGCCGCAUUGCAGGGUAGCUAUAUCCGGACGGGAUAACCGCUGAAGGCAUCUAAGCGGGAAACCCACCUUGAAACGAGUAUUCCCUGAGAACCGUGGAAGACGAC